CGGUAGCUGGACCCACCGGGCUCAACCGAGCAAACCCAGCCUCUCUCGUCCGCACAGGACAACAACCCACCUCACGGG
rfam:Thauera sp. 27 Cont28, whole genome shotgun sequence.